rnacentral:rRNA from 1 species
CCGGCACGGGUGAGUAACACGUAUGCAAUCCACCUGUAACAGGGGGAUAACCCGGAGAAAUCCGGACUAAUACCCCAUAAUAUGGGCGCUCCGCAUGGAGAGCCCAUUAAAGAGAGCAAUUUUGGUUACAGACGAGCAUGCGCUCCAUUAGUCAGUUGGCGGGGUAACGGCCCACCAAAGCGACGAUGGAUAGGGGUUCUGAGAGGAAGGUCCCCCACAUUGGAACUGAGACACGGUCCAA